GAUGAACGCUGGCGGCGUGCCUAAUACAUGCAAGUCGAGCGAACAGACGAGGAGCUUGCUCCUCUGACGUUAGCGGCGGACGGGUGAGUAACACGUGGAUAACCUACCUAUAAGACUGGGAUAACUUCGGGAAACCGGAGCUAAUACCGGAUAAUAUAUUGAACCGCAUGGUUCAAUAGUGAAAGACGGUUUUGCUGUCACUUAUAGAUGGAUCCGCGCCGCAUUAGCUAGUUGGUAAGGUAACGGCUUACCAAGGCAACGAUGCGUAGCCGACCUGAGAGGGUGAUCGGACACACUGGAACUGAGACAGGGUCCAGACUCCUACGGGAGGCAGAAGUAGGGAAUCUUCCGCAAUGGGCGAAAGCCUGACGGAGAAACGACGCGUGAGUGAUGAAGGUCUUCGGAUCGUAAAACUCUGUUAUUAGGGAAGAACAAAUGUGUAAGUAACUAUGCACGUCUUGACGGUACCUAAUCAGAAAGCCACGGCUAACUACGUG
rnacentral:rRNA from 1 species